AAUUGCAACCAUUGCCUAGUGGUCUCAAUGCAUUGCAUCCCAUUAGAACUUCACAACUAAGUGUGCUUGGGCUAGAGUAGGACUGGGAUGGAUGACCUCUCGGGAAGUCCUAGUGUUUUACAUG
rfam:Picea glauca, whole genome shotgun sequence.